UAUGCACAGUAGAGAUUAAUUGAUUUGAGGGCUCGUUACACGUCUCGAUAUUUCUCAGUAUAAGAUGAAUGAAAUUAGAGAAAAUCCUUUAGACAACCGACAAAAACACCUUGAUGUCAUGUGUUUUCCUACUCUUUUUCCAACUGGGAAUUUUGGUGCCGAUCAUUCUCGUGCAGUUAAACUUAGUAAUGCUGAGUAUAUAAAAUCUCGACUUCUUAAUGUUGACUCGAGAUAUAGGAAGAAUCCAGCCUAUGUCUUCUUCUUAUUAUGGGAGAAAGAAUUAAGGGAGCUGAAAAGUGGCAUAUACAACACACUAAGAACAACCAGUCAAAACAUGUCAGCUCAAGCUAUGCUAAAUAUGCUCAACAAUGCAGACAGAAAAUUGGAAGCUAGUUUAUGUACUGUACUCCAGUCUGUACGUGGCACUAAGCAAUUCUGGUUUAAACGUAAAGGAGAUGUUGACUGUAUGAUAAGAGAAUUUGGAUCUCCCACUUUCUUUUGCACUUUUAGCUGUGCUGAAUAUGAAUCUCCUGACAUUCUUGAAUAUUUGAGGAAAGUCAAUGAUGUCCCUGACUCGUAUGACAAUGGCAGAUUAUGCACUGAAGAUCCUAUUUCCGUAUCUCGCCAAUUUUCACAUAAAUUUCAUGAAUUUUUUUCAAUCUUUAUUAAGAAGGGUCAAGUUUUGGGGCAAGUAGAUCACUUUUUUUGGAAAAAAGAGUACCAACAACGUGGUGCUCCACAUUAUCACGUCCUUCUUUGGAUAAGGGAUGCUCCUAAAAUGGGUCAGGACAAACCUGAAGAUGUCAUAGCAUUUAUUGACAGGCACAUUACCUGUCACAUUCCUAAUCAUAAUACUUGCCCAGAAUUACAUAAGACAGUUAUGUCCAAACAAUUGCAUAAAUGUAGUGCCUACUGCAAAAAGAAAUACAAAUCGGGUAGUCACUAUUUUCAGAGAUGUAAAUUUGGCUACCCACGCCCUGUAACAUCAAAAACAACACUAAAAGAUGUUACCAAAAAUCUCAAAGCUCAUCAAAAAAUAUAUGAUUUGAAACGCCAUGAAGCUGAAACCAGAGUUAAUGACUAUAAUCCACUGCUGCUACUACAGUGGGGAGCAAAUACGUCCACAGAGGUAGAGGGCAUCCAUUAUUAUUUUCUGUCUAUUAAGGUGUGGCUUAACUAAGACUAAGUUAACUUCUUUAAUGGCGCUCUGGCGACUCAUACCUACAUGUAGUUUCUAGCUCUAGCUCUCUCAAAUUUCAGUCAAGUGGAACAUGGCAACAGACGAAUUAGUAAUCAACUGGGGGUGCAGCUAUGACUGUCUGCCAUCUUGGGUGGCAAGAAUGUACAAGUAAUGAAUGGAGGAGAUGCAGAAACAAACUGGGAUUUUCCAACGAUGAGAUACAUGUAUCAUACUUGACUGUAGAAUGUUAUAGAGAGUUCUUCACUCAAUAUCUUCAUCUCCUAGCUUGCAUUAGCCUGUAUUGUAAACCAGUGUUGUAUUAUUUAACUAUAACUAAAUCUGUUUUAGUACAACAAAAUUGUGUUAACUAAACUAUAGAUCUAAUUCUUCCACUUGAUGUCAAAGUAACUAGAAUCAUAACUAAAAUGACUUGUCAAAACUAUAUCUAAAAUACAAUUAACAGUUUUGUACUAGUACUAGCCGUACCUACUUAUUAAUUGAAAUCUACUUUUAUUUGACCAAAAUUGAGCCUGUUGAGAGGGUACUUUUGUUAGUAA